CCUACGGGAGGCUGCAGUGGGGAAUAUUGCACAAUGGGCGCAAGCCUGAUGCAGCGACGCCGCGUGAGGGAUGACGGCCUUCGGGUUGUAAACCUCUUUCAGUAGGGGAGAAGCGAAAGUGACGGUACCUGCAGAAGAAGCGCCGGCUAACUACGUGCCAGCAGCCGCGGUAAUACGUAGGGCGCGAGCGUUGUCCGGAAUUAUUGGGCGUAAAGAGCUUGUAGGCGGUUUGUCGCGUCUGCUGUGAAAGCCCGGGGCUUAACCCCGGGUUUGCAGUGGGUACGGGCAGACUAGAGUGCAGUAGGGGAGACUGGAAUUCCUGGUGUAGCGGUGAAAUGCGCAGAUAUCAGGAGGAACACCAAUGGCGAAGGCAGGUCUCUGGGCUGUAACUGACGCUGAGAAGCGAAAGCAUGGGGAGCAAACAGGAUUAGAUACCCCUGUAGUC
rnacentral:rRNA from 1 species